rnacentral:rRNA from 1 species
UGGGGAAUUUUGGACAAUGGGCGCAAGCCUGAUCCAGCCAUACCGCGUGAGUGAAGAAGGCCUUCGGGUUGUAAAGCUCUUUCAGACGGAAAGAAACGGUCGCGGCCAAUACCCGCGACUAAUGACGGUACCGUAAGAAGAAGCACCGGCUAACUACGUGCCAGCAGCCGCGGUAAUACGUAGGGUGCGAGCGUUAAUCGGAAUUACUGGGCGUAAAGCGUGCGCAGGCGGUUUGGUAAGACAGAUGUGAAAUCCCCGGGCUUAACCUGGGAACUGCAUUUGUGACUGCCAGACUAGAGUGUAGCAGAGGGGGGUAGAAUUCCACGUGUAGCAGUGAAAUGCGUAGAUAUGUGGAGGAAUACCGAUGGCGAAGGCAGCCCCCUGGGCUAACACUGACGCUCAUGCACGAAAGCGUGGGGAGCAAACAGGAUUAGAUACCCAAGUAGUCCCUGAGCGGGCUGGCAAGGCGCAU